rnacentral:rRNA from 1 species
CAGCCGCCACGGUAAGACAGAGGAUGCAAGCGUUAUCCGGAAUGAUUGGGCGUAAAGCGCGCGCAGGCGGAUAGGUCAGUCUGUCUUAAAAGUUCGGGGCUUAACCCCGUGAUGGGAUGGAAACUGCCAAUCUAGAGUAUCGGAGAGGAAAGUGGAAUUCCUAGUGUAGCGGUGAAAUGCGUAGAUAUUAGGAAGAACACCAGUGGCGAAGGCGACUUUCUGGACGAAAACUGACGCUGAGGCGCGAAAGCCAGGGGAGCGAACGGGAUUAGAUACCCCCGUAGUCCCUGUCUCUUAUACA